GAGAAAAGGAAUAUGGUUGAAGGACCACCAGCUAUGUGGACAAAUCUCAUGACAUUCCCUAAAAUUAAGAAGUUUAACAACAACAAGGCAACCUUUCCACUCUUUGAUGCUUUGGGAGAGCUUUAUGAUGGGCACUUGGCUGAAGGGAUUUACAAUGUCACUUCUCUUGAG